UACGAGGACGACGCUGGCGGCGUGCUUAACACAUGCAAGUGGAGCGACGAACCGGGGCUUGCCCCGGGGCAGAACCGCGAACGGGUGAGUAACACGUGGGUAACCUGCCUCAAUGAUUGGGACAACCCGGGGAAACUCGGGCUAAUACCAAAUGUGUUCACUCCUUCUAAGGGGAGUGAGGAAAGGAAGCUUCGGCCUCCGCAUUGAGAUGGGCCCGCGGCCCAUUAGCUUGUUGGUGAGGUAACGGCUCACCAAGGCUUCGAUGGGUAGCUGGUCUGAGAGGACGAUCAGCCACACUGGGACUGAGACACGGCCCAGACUCCUACGGGAGGCAGCAGUGGGGAAUCUUGCACAAUGCGCGAAAGCGUGAUGCAGCAACGCCGCGUGGGGAAGACGGCCUUCGGGUUGUAAACCCCUUUCAGUUGGGACGAAGCUUCGUCGGUGAAUAGCCGGUUGGAGUGACGGUACCUUCAGAAGAAGCCCCGGCUAACUACGUG
rnacentral:rRNA from 1 species